UCGCCGAUGCCAAGCUGCCCGACAUGCAGGCCGGAUGGGAACAGGCGAUGUCAAAUGUCAUGGCCGGCCUCUCGGGCCUCAACAUGGUCUACGAGGCGG
rfam:Roseovarius sp. A-2 DNA, contig: RA2_contig0002.